AUUGAACGCUGGCGGCAUGCCUAACACAUGCAAGUCGAACGGCAGCACAGCCCGCAAGGGUGGGUGGCGAGUGGCGGACGGGUGAGGAAUACAUGGGAAUCUACCCUGUCGUGGGGGAUAACGUAGGGAAAACUUACGCUAAUACCGCAUACGACCUCCGGGUGAAAGCGGCGGACCGCAAGGCGUCGCGCGACUGGAUGAGCCCAUGUCGGAUUAGCUAGUUGGCGGGGUAAAGGCCCACCAAGGCGACGAUCCGUAGCUGGUCUGAGAGGAUGAUCAGCCACACUGGUACUGAGACACGGUCCAGACUCCUACGGGAGGCAGCAGUGGGGAAUAUUGGACAAUGGGCGCAAGCCUGAUCCAGCAAUGCCGCGUGGGUGAAGAAGGCCUUCGGGUUGUAAAGCCCUUUUGUACGGGAAGAAAUCCUGUCGGUUAAUACCCGGCGGGGAUGACGGUACCGUAAGAAUAAGCACCGGCUAACUUCGUGCCAGCAGCCGCCGUAA
rnacentral:rRNA from 1 species